GCACCUUACCACUAACAGAAUUAUUCCCUCACAACACACAUCUCACUUCACACCUCCCCAUUUUUCCCCUUUAACAACUCAACACUCCCACUUUUCCUCUUUUAACAUCUCACACUCCCACUCUCUCUUAUAUUAAAAUAGUUAGAGACAAUCUUUUAGGAGAUAUGAGAGAGUUGCUUGAACACCCCAAAAAACAGCAAAAAAUAGAGCCGAAAGAAAGCAUCAAACUCCAGCAAAUUCCAGCCGAAAUCACCCCAAAAAAUAGCUCCAAAAGCAGCUGAAAAACAGCCAAAAACCCACCAAAAAUCAGUGCCAAAAACGCUGCCAAAACCACCCAAAAUCCAACUGAAAACCAAUCCGAAAUGGCUUCAUUCUCCACCUAAAAUACAGCCAUAAAAUACCCAUCAAACCACUUUAAAAGUUGUUGAUUUCACCCAAUACAACACGCACAAGGUUCCUAAAAUUGGAGGAGAUCGAGUGAAGGCACCGGCGAGUUUCAGUCGAGGUUCAAGGUUCGCUGGGGAUUUUUUCUUGCUAUUUUCAUUCCUCCGUACCGAAAGAGGUUAGAUUCUUCAAUAUAAAAUGGCCAAUUCUUUUCUUCAAAGGCGUAACUUCAUAUUUGUUUAUUUAUCAAACAGUUAUUUCUUUUUAUCAACUUUGUUGGUGCACUAUUGCUUUAUUUACCAUGAGUGUUUGCUUUAGAAUUAUUUUUAUUACUAGCAUGUUUAUUUAAACAAGUGAACUUAAUAUAGAGUGAAUUCCAAAUACAGAGCAUGAUAAUUAUAUUGUUGAACAUAAGGCUCAGAUUCGUGUUUUCCUUUCUAUUUUUUUCUAGUGUUGAUUUUAAUUAUUAUUAAUUGUAUUUUCAUGAAAGUUGAGAACAAGAAGCACUAAAAAAAAUAGUAGUUACGCUGGUAUUGAGCCAUGUGAUCUUGUUAUUCAUUAAAUGAUAAUUGGGUCAUUAGUUGAUAAUGUGGGCCGUUGUAUAUUUAUUAGUAGUAAUUAAAAGAGUUUUGACUCAGAGGUUUCUGUUUGGUCAAGUUCAGUGAUUGAGAAGUUGGCUUGAGAAUAUUUUUGGAAUUUUUACCUCCUAUAGCAAAGGUUGAUAUCUUAUUUAUUUUAAAUAAACACCCUUUUAAAAAAUUAUAUUCCAUAGCUACCUUUUAAAUUUUAUAGCCAAAUAUCUAUUUAUGGUCACCUCCUACCCUUAAGCCAUAAAAUACGCUUUGUAUUAUUUUUCUCUCUCAUUCUUUCAGAUUUGUCUCCACCCUCUCUCUCUCUCAAAGCCAUAAAACUCAUGGAUUCUCUCUCAUCAGUUUAUCCGUCGAUCCUUCUUCCUCCUGGAAAGCAUCUCCGCCACCACCAUCAUCAGCANN
rnacentral:lncRNA from 1 species